CACCAAGGAAUACUCCAGCAAGGAAAGCGGCCAUUUUACACACGUGGAGCGAAUUUUUUGGAUUUAUUACUGACUCGACCGAAAAAAGCACUUUAUUCAGUCAUGACCAUAUGUUACCUCGGUUCAUGAUGUACGAGAUUUUAGCAACCGUCCUACCUUGGUCCAUGGUGUACGGAAUGUCCGCUCAUGCUUUUUAAACACUGAUGGCAUCCUUGAUUAUGUUGAUUUCGUCCAGACGAUGGCGGAGAAAGUCCAAGACAAGGAAUGUGUUUAUGUUUUCGCACGCUUGCCCUUUUGACGAUUGGUCCGAUAACGAAUGGGAUGCUUGUACUCCUCAAUGGAACCUGUCAAACGCCAAAGAUGAGCGGGGAUGGGCGUCCCCCUGUUGGUUGAUUCUUCCAUAACAUGGGAAACGAUUCAAUAUCAAAUGAUGGAACCGCAUACACACCACGCGUCAACGAAGACAACCGCCAUCUCGAAGGAGGAGGAAAACCGUGAUGGAAUCUUCGCUCACAGUUGAUCAGUGCUUCAGGCAAGACCUACUCUUUGUAAAACUGCAAGCCAAACACUAGUCACACUUGUCAACGGUUCUGCCACAAAUGAUUACAAAUCGUUUUACAAGUUGAUACGACGCGACAGGCUUUUAAGCGUGGCUUUUACACAAGACAAGAUUUCAUUCGAACAGAAAAAGUUGUUAAGCAUAAAAAUACAUGGCAUAGCAGAAACAUGACAAGUGCAACUAGAUACUAGUGAGGUUUCGCAACCCUAAGAUAUAAAUCUACGUUUACGUUUUGAAAUUUUAAAAUCGUAACGAAUUUUAGCUCUUCUGAUUAAAAGGAACCGAUUUCACAAUGUUGCGAAGGGCGCGCAUAACCUCAGUGCAGAAAACUGCCCAACAUGUAUGUGCGUCACUCAGGCGUUUUGGAAACGUAAACGUGAUUGCGAAACCUCCCUAUUUUCCAAUACAUGACACCUGACAAUAACCUGGAGAGGGUUAAACUUAUAUUGACGUUUAUUGGGGGGGGGAUGAAAUUAUUUGAAAAAUGUUUAAUUCGUCAUACUUUUAAUGAUACCUUUUCAUGAAGUGUUUUUUCUCUAUUGCUGUAAGAAAAAAUCCUUUAAAAAGGCAUAAUUUCUUGGCCUCUGGUAUCUUUUGCAAUAACACCUGUUUUGCUGUUAAAAGUUUUAAAGCUUAUCGUAUAAAAAAAGUGAAAAAAGUGUCAGAGACUGACGGGAUUCGAACCCAAGACCUCUGGGUGGUAAGUCACACGCUCUAACCACUACUCCACCAAGCCACACUCUCAGUAGGGCUGCAAAAGAGCGAGUCCCUGAAGUUUAGGCCAGACGGCUCAUUGAAGAUUUAUGGUGAAUUGGUUGAAUAGGCAGGUUAUGAGAUCCUUUGUCAAAUAAGGUGUAUCCAUUUCUUUUGCAACAACACACAGUUUGUAGAUUUAAUUGAAUGAGACGUAGGCCUUUUCUCAGCAAUACAUUGUACAGAAUUAGAUUUAGAUGGAUUGAACUGAUUCAAACUAUGUAAGAAAUACUUUAAUCUCACUUCUAUAAGACCAUCUUAUCGAAAGUUAUUAUCAAUUUUCAGUACCGAAUACCGGGUGUUCGGUAUUGCUGAUUCAUGGGGAGGGGCGGGGCGGGGUCUACUGUAGACCACAUUAGAAAAACUAAAGCUUAAAAAUGCCUUUCUACCAAUUUUGAUUGGGAGAUUGUGGUGAAAUAUAUGAAAAAUGGUCUUAUGCAUGUGAUUUUACAGCGUUUCGCCUCAAUAUCUAUCUGUGAAACGUAAACAUUUAUGUAUAUGUUAUACGAUUG